rnacentral:rRNA from 1 species
UGCAAGUCGAACGGUAGCACAGAGAGCUUGCUCUCGGGUGACGAGUGGCGGACGGGUGAGUAAUGCCUGGGAAACUGCCCGAUGGAGGGGGAUAACUACUGGAAACGGUAGCUAAUACCGCAUAACGUCUUCGGACCAAAGUGGGGGACCUUCGGGCCUCACACCAUCGGAUGUGCCCAGGUGGGAUUAGCUAGUAGGUGGGGUAAUGGCUCACCUAGGCGACGAUCCCUAGCUGGUCUGAGAGGAUGACCAGCCACACUGGAACUGAGACACGGUCCAGACUCCUACGGGAGGCAGCAGUGGGGAAUAUUGCACAAUGGGCGCAAGCCUGAUGCAGCCAUGCCGCGUGUAUGAAGAAGGCCUUCGGGUUGUAAAGUACUUUCAGCGGGGAGGAAGGCGGUGAAGUUAAUAGCUUCAUCGAUUGACGUUACCCGCAGAAGAAGCACCGGCUAACUCCGUGCCAGCAGCCGCGGUAAUACGGAGGGUGCAAGCGUUAAUCGGAAUUACUGGGCGUAAAGCGCACGCAGGCGGUCUGUCAAGUCGGAUGUGAAAUCCCCGGGCUUAACCUGGGAACUGCAUUCGAAACUGGCAGGCUAGAGUCUUGUAGAGGGGGGUAGAAUUCCAGGUGUAGCGGUGAAAUGCGUAGAGAUCUGGAGGAAU